rnacentral:rRNA from 1 species
GAUGAACGCUGGCGGCGUGCCUAAUACAUGCAAGUCGAGCGAACGGACGAGAAGCUUGCUUCUCUGAUGUUAGCGGCGGACGGGUGAGUAACACGUGGAUAACCUACCUAUAAGACUGGGAUAACUUCGGGAAACCGUAGCUAAUACCGGAUAAUAUUUUGAACCGCAUGGUUCAAAAGUGAAAGACGGUCUUGCUGUCACUUAUAGAUGGAUCCGCGCUGCAUUAGCUAGUUGGUAAGGUAACGGCUUACCAAGGCAACGAUGCAUAGCCGACCUGAGAGGGUGAUAGGCCACACUGGAACUGAGACACGGUCCAGACUCCUACGGGAGGCAGCAGUAGGGAAUCUUCCGCAAUGGGCGAAAGCCUGACGGAGCAACGCCGCGUGAGUGAUGAAGGUCUUCGGAGCGUAAAACUCUGUUAUUAGGGAAGAACAGAUGUGGAAGGAAAUGUGCACAUCUUGACGGUACCUAAUCAGAAAGCCACGGCUAACUACGUG